rnacentral:rRNA from 1 species
GACGAACGCUGGCGGCGUGCCUAAUACAUGCAAGUCGAGCGCAGGAAACUGACGGAACUCUUCGGAGGGAAGGCAGCGGAAUGAGCGGCGGACGGGUGAGUAACACGUAAGGAACCUGCCUCAAGGAUUGGGAUAACUCCGAGAAAUCGGAGCUAAUACCGGAUAGUUCAUCGGACCGCAUGGUCCGUUGAUGAAAGGCGCUCCGGCGUCACCUUGAGAUGGCCUUGCGGUGCAUUAGCUAGUUGGUGGGGUAACGGCCCACCAAGGCGACGAUGCAUAGCCGACCUGAGAGGGUGAUCGGCCACACUGGGACUGAGACACGGCCCAGACUCCUACGGGAGGCAGCAGUAGGGAAUCUUCCACAAUGGACGAAAGUCUGAUGGAGCAACGCCGCGUGAGUGAUGAAGGUUUUCGGAUCGUAAAACUCUGUUGUAAGGGAAGAACACGUACGAGAGGGAAUGCUCGUACCUUGACGGUACCUUACGAGAAAGCCACGGCUAACUACGUGCCAGCCGCCGCAGUAAUAC